ACAAUAAUUGCGUUACGUUGUCUAACGUAUAUUUUAAACCGUAAUUUACGUUUUAUAUUCAUACGCGCAUGCAAACGUUAUCAAUUACCGUUUUGUAACGUGUUUCAAGCUUGAUACAGUAAUUUAAUCGUUUUUCUCUCGUGCGGUUUUUAUUUUCUUGAUUUACAAAAUGUGCUUUGAGUGAAAAAUUCUGUUUUAAACCACGGG